GCAUAUCAAUAAGCGGAGGAAAAGAAACCAACAGGGAUUGCCCUAGUAACGGCGAGUGAAGCGGCAACAGCUCAAAUUUGAAAUCUGGCUCUCUUUGGGGGUCCGAGUUGUAAUUUGCAGAGGAUGCUUUGGCAUUGGCGGCGUUCUAAGUUCCUUGGAACAGGACAUCACAGAGGGUGAGAAUCCCGUACGUGGUCGCCUGCCUUUGCCGUGUAAAGCUCCUUCGACGAGUCGAGUUGUUUGGGAAUGCAGCUCUAAAUGGGAGGUAAAUUUCUUCUAAAGCUAAAUACCGGCCAGAGACCGAUAGCGCACAAGUAGAGUGAUCGAAAGAUGAAAAGUACUUUGGAAAGAGAGUCAAAAAGCACGUGAAAUUGUUGAAAGGGAAGCGCUUGCAGCCAGACUUGCCCGCAGUUGCUCACCUAGGCUUUGGCCUGGGGCACUCUUCUGCGGGCAGGCCAGCAUCAGUUUGGGCGGUUGGAUAAAGGCCUCUGUCACGUAUCUCCCUCCGGGGUGACCUUAUAGGGGAGGCGUAAUGCAACCAGCCCGGACUGAGGUCCGCGCAUCUGCUAGGAUGCUGGCGUAAUGGCUGUAAGCGGCCCGUCUUGAAACACGGACCAAGGAGUCUAACAUCUAUGCGAGUGUUUGGGUGUCAAGCCCGGGCGCGCAAUGAAAGUGAACGGAGGUGGGAACCCUUUGGGUGCACCAUCGACCGAUCCUGAUGUCUUCGGAUGGAUUUGAGUAAGAGCAUAGCUGUUGGGACCCGAAAGAUGGUGAACUAUGCUUGAAUAGGGUGAAGCCAGAGGAAACUCUGGUGGAGGCUCGCAGCGGUUCUGACGUGCAAAUCGAUCGUCAAAUUUGGGCAUAGGGGCGAAAGACUAAUCGAACCAUCUAGUAGCUGGUUCCUGCCGAAG
rnacentral:rRNA from 1 species